GGGGUUGUGGCUCAGCGGUAGAGCACUCGCCUAGCAUGUGUGAGGCGCUGGGUUCAAUCCUCAGCACCACA
rnacentral:tRNA from 1 species